rnacentral:lncRNA from 10 species
UAGGACCCUUAUAAAAGAGGCCUGAGAGGACGCCGCUUUUUAAGCCCUCCCGAUGUGUGAGGACACACAGGAGCCACCACCCAGAGGAACAGGCCUUUAGCGGACACUGAAUCUGCUGGUGCCUUCAUCUUGGAAUUUCCAGACUCCAGAACUCUGCAGUUACCAUCCUCAAAUACAAAAGUAAUUGAUACUCAGCAAUGAAAGCUGCAUGUGCAUGUAGGGGAGAGAAGGAGGUUUCACCAGACUGACAAAUGGAGUCAUGGUUCUGGGAAGGAGCAGGGUGUUGGGUGCACAUUUGUCACCUGGGAAUACUACCAGCAAGCCUCAUAUUUUUUCUGCAAUAAAUGCUGGAAAGGAAAAAGAAAUGCUGAAAAUGAUGAAGUAAUUCCAAUUCUGCUGAUAGAGACCUGGAAAUGCACUAGGGAAAAAUGACAAGAGUGUAACACACUGCUGCUGAUUAUGUCAUAAUGAUUAUUUUAUGCAGUUUGAAGAAGACUCACUGUUCUAAAGAACCAGCAUCCAUUUCCAGGAAAGAGCAGGGAUUCUCCAUCCAUACCUCCAUGGGAUGAACCACAUUGAAAAUAAUGAUUUCCUUCUAAUAGCUUACUCUACAUUAUAUAAAGAAUUCCUUGGGAUUCUAAAAAAACCCUAAUAAUAUAGUAAUAAUAACAACAGAGGUUUGUUUUUGCUAUUUGUAGUCUAAUAUUCAGAUUGUGAGCAGCUGUUUUGGAAGGCAAGAUGAGUGAAUAGAUGUGAAGUCGUCUUAGAAAUGUCCAGGCUUCCAAAAGAAAUUUCACUUUUAAAAGAAAAUAGCCUAAUGUGAACCACAUUAGAAUCAGCACAUCUAAUCCUACGGAGAAAAAGUGACCAUGGCUGUCUACACAUAUAGGCAGGUCAUUCAAGCUCAUUCAAAAAUUCCACUUUCACUGGUGGUCUGUCUGUGUCCACAUGGUGACAAAUGGCCCCGGCAGGGUUUUUGAGGUGUUGGCACCACCAGUGAGUGCCAGAUGGAAUGUGGUGAAAGUUCUGAUUUGUACCUUUCAGACUAAAGGUACUUUCCAGAAUGGACGGGUCCUUCUGGCUGCCUUUUGUAAGUGCAGCCACAGGUAUUCUGUUGAAGCCUGUGGGUGAGAAAGACAUAAACAGGUGCUAUAAAUUUGUCAGACCAGGAAGCCACAGGCCGUUUAGUAAAUGGUAAACCCAAUGGCCCAAAAGAACAAAGGGGUCUCUUUUCAUCAGAAUGAUCAGGCUCAUUCAACAAAUAUUUAUUGAGCACCCACUUUCUGCCAGAUGGAAGAGCCACUGACAAGGCCUCUUAUUUAAAGAGUGCCUGAAGUGAGGAAGCAAACCCCCAAAUCAUCUGGGAUGGUAUGAACUGAACUCUGGACCGCAACAUGAUGGAAAGGAGGAGCUGGGGUCCCAAGGGCAGUCCAGACAACCUGAACCUGUGACACUCACCCUGCCCACACACUCUCAGAGCUGCAGCUUUCACGGGGGUGACAUGAAUGCUUGUAAAUGAGCUUGCUGAAUGGGAGACCAAGAACGAUGAUAUUGAGCUGUUACUACAUGCCAGACAUUUAACCCUUUCAUCCAGGUUAUCUCAAUCAUUCCUUACAGAAAGGCUUUUGAGAUGUCCUUGCAACUGGAGGUGCCAUAUGAUACAGUUCUGCCCAAAGACAAGAAAGUGAAUGUCUGUUGAGGGCUUCCUAUAAGGCCAAUACAUACAGGUGUUCCCAACAACAGGUGUUUUGAACUAGAUUACUGACUGGCCAUCUGUGGCAGGCCCACUCCUGGAUGUCAUGCCCCUGUUAAUGAAAUCUGGGCGUGCGCUCGUAAACAGACCUGGUGAAUGGUAGACGUCAGCCAUUGCGUGAUGGACAAUCAUCAAUCAUCCAUUGUCAGUUAUUUCUGUCCCAGGAAAACCUUGGCAUCCAGUGAUGAUGAAUCAAUGCUGCUGACAGAUGCAUCGUGUUGGGAUCCCAAUCAUCUAAUUCUUCCAUCAACAGAAAUGACAGGUGCCUAUGUUAAAAAGGGAAGCUGUGAGCAUAAACCUUCAAAGACCUACAGGUAAAAUGUACCCUGCAUUGAAAAUGUUUCUCUAAAUAAACAUUUUAUAAUAUUAAAAUUUUAUAUUAGAGUUUUUG